rnacentral:lncRNA from 1 species
UUUGCAAAUUCCUCCCAAGUCAUGCCGUCUAGUCUUGGGUCCACAUAACACUUGAACCAUUCCCGUGCCUUUUUGCACUUUAAAGUGAACCCUGCCAUCUGAAUGGCCCUGCUGUCAUCUGCCCCUAGUUCAUCAGUUAUCGUCUUCACUACCCUCAGGUACUCAAAGGGGUCAUCCCCCGACUUGUAUUUGGGAGCAUCCAGCUUAAGGUAAUCUGUCAUCUUCACUUUGCUCCCACUGGCUGAGCUAGGUCUAGAAGGUUGAGUAACUGGGGCUACUGGUUCUGUAGGUGGUGGAGGUGGGGGUGCAGCAUUCCCCGAGGUGGGGUUUGCCGGGUGAGGAUAAAAGGGUGAGGGUGGAUAAGCUGGGUACUGGGGGUGAGGUGGAUAGAAAGGUGGAUAAGGCAUGUAUGUAGGGUAGGGGUUAAAGCUGGAGAAAUCCGAUGUGCCUCCCAUCGAAUACCCUGAACCCUGUGGGAAGGGUGGAUAAUGGGGUGAAAAACCAUACCCCGAGGCCUGAGCGCCUCCCUGAGACUCCCCUGUCCCUUCUUUCGUCAUGCUGACAUCCAGAUUCCCAUCCCUCCUCUAGUCCUCUUCCAUAACCUCCCUCACAUCUGAAGAACUUCCUCCUCUAUCUGUCCCCCUUCUACUAGCAUCAAAAGACCUUCUAGGGUCCCUUGACACUCUUUCUCUGCUUGAUCUACAUGACAUUGCCCUAGGCAAUGCAGGAAGAUGGGCGCUCGUGCCCUCAUCCUCAGGUGGCACUCCAGUCAAUUGUGCAGAUUGACGAGUUCCCCUCAUCCUGUUUUCUGAAAAACAGUACACAACACUAAAAUAUCAGCAUCAUAUGGUUCAUGUGGAAACACAUGAACCUGCAUCACAUACAUAUCAUUCAUAUCAUAGCAUUAAUGCACAUGUAUAAAAUCAUGGCAUUUCACAUCAUCAAAUAAGACAGGACUCCACAUCCUAUCCUAGUGGACAUGACCUUUCCUACUGUGCUUGACCUUCUAUAACAUCUAUGAGCCCGACACUCUAGGUUCGACCAUAUGAACCUAGGGCUCUGAUACCAUUCUGUAACGACUCGAGAAUCGGACCGCUACCGGCGCUAGGAUCCAGGUCGGCUUAAGGCCGCCGGGACCCGUAGCAAGCCUAACAUGCAUCCUGUUAACCUGUUUAAUCCCAUACAUGAUCGACAACAUACAUAAAAAUUAAAACUUUUCCUUUCAUCCAUACACCAAACUCAACCUGUGCAUGCACUAUACAUAGUCAUAAUUAUAACCAUUGACCCCUCUUUGGGAUCUCAUCAAUACCCCAAAUGGAAACAUAACCUGUGUUGAGUUGGUUUACAUAAACAUCAUAAACAUCUAAGAUCAUGUAUUAAAAGGGAUACCAAACACAUAGGGUCAAGCACAAUCUCUAAUCCUUAAUAUCAUUACAUUAUAUAACUUUACAUCAUUUUACAAUUUGUCAUGUCCACAUUCUAUCUAUUAAAUACACAUGACUUCAUUACUCAUACUGACCUCCUGGUCUACCCUGUACCUGCAAACCUGGGGGAUUAGGGAGAGGGGUGAGCUAUAAAGCCCAGUGAGCAGAAUAAUAAAAACAUUAUAUUAACAUUUCAUGCUCUUAUGGAAUGCAUCACAUCACAAACAUAUCACAUCAAGGAUGAACUUAUCACCAGUAGCCCUCUACAUAAUCCCAUAGUGCCAGAAUGUAGAAUGGGUCCUGGUCUUUCUCUUACAUAGCAUAACAUAACUUUCCAAUGUGCCAGAACGUAGAAUGGGUCCCACUGGUCUUACAUUCCGUACCGUACAUACCAUAUCGUCACAUCAUAGGUCGAGGGCUAUGGAUCAUUCAACGUUCAUCCACAUCAACAAUAAAAUAUGCAAUGCAACAUAUUCGUGAAUUCUAAUGCAAACAACCUAAUAUAUCUCAUGGUAUUAAUGAUGCGUGAAUCAUGCUACAAUGUCCAUUAUUUACUUUAAAAUGUAAUGAUUUAUUCCACUCACCUCUGGAUAGCUCUGACCAGACACUGGAGCAGCUGACUCACUGCUGGGGUCCUCGGUUCCUCGGGUCCGAACCUACACAGGUGGACUCAAAUGAGGGACCAAACAUACAUGAACAUAACUCUAAACUACUCCCCAAAAACCCCCUAAAACAUCAUGAAACAACCAUAGAAAAACAUGCAAAGGAGGGCUGGACAGGGCACUUUCGGCGACAGGUUCGGCGGCCGAAAGUCCCUCCAGAGCCGAAAGUCAGGCAGGUUCGGCGGCACCUUCGGCGGCCGAAACUCCCAGACAGAGACGAAACUCAUGCAUGUUUGGCGGCACUUUCGGCGGCCGAAACUCCCAGACAGAGACGAAAGUCUCCUUUCGGGAGCAGGCUUCGGCAGCCGAAAGGCUUGCCUCCCAGGCAGGUUCGGCGGCCGAAAAUCCUUCGGCUGCCGAACCUGGUUUCUGCCAAGGGGCAGAAACUUGGUUCCUCAUGCAUAGUUGCCUCCCAAACCUUUUAGAUCAAGCAUACAUCUCAUUCAAAACAUGCAUAGAUACAUACAUCAGCUCCUAGGGGCUUCAAACUAUCCUAAACCCCAUCUACAACACAUCAAACCCACACAACCAAUCAUACAUUGUCCAUAAAACACAUAAAACCUAACAAAGCUCAACUAACAUAAACAUACAUUUCUACCCCAUAGAUCAACUUAAAACUUGUUUAAAACAUAUAGUGAGCUCAAGAUCGGUCCUUACCUCUUGAAGAUCGAGAGGAAAACGACCCUAGCUCGAAGAUGGGAGAGAUUGAGCUCCUUGAACCUCAAAGCUCCAAAACUUGCUUUAAACUCGAAAAUCUUCAAAACAAAGUGAAAACUUGUGAAAAUCGUGAAGGAUUUGAAGGAAGAAACUCAAGAUCGGUGAGGGACGGCGGAGAGCUCACCUUGGCCGAAAUGGGGAGAAAAAGCUCGCCCGUUUUCGGCUAAGGGACCCCUUUAUAGGUGGCUGGCCAGGCCACAUUCGGGAGCCGAACGUGCCUCCGCAUGCAUGCCAUGUUCGGCGGCCGAACAUAAGGUUCGGUGGCCGAACCUGGACUUCCCUCACUUAUGCUUUCGGGGGCCUAAGGCACACCCGAAGCGCAUGCAUGUUCGGCGGCCGAACCUGGGUCUUCCUCCAAAACCAAUUCCAUGCAAAAACUCAUUUCUUACUUGAUUAAAACCAUAAAACUCAUUAAAACAUUUUAUGAAAACAUGGUUUUUACCCUUCUAGAGGUCUCUGACACCCGAGAUUCCACCGGACGGUAGGAAUUCCGAUACCGGAUUCUAGCCGGGUAUUACAACCACUAGGAAGAUGCUUCAAAUGGGUUGUCAAGCGUACCUAGCCUAUGUGAUGGACAGUAGCCUAGAAGAACCUAAAUUGGAAGAUAUACCAGUAGUAAGCGAGUUUCCUGAUGUAUUCCCUGAAGAGCUUCCCUGGUUGCCUCUAGAUAGAGGAGUCAAUUCUCUAUUGAUUUAAAUCUAGGUACAACUCCUAUUUCUAUGGCACCAUACAGAAUUGCUUCAGCAGAAUUGAAGGAGUUAAAAGCACAAUUGCAAGAGCUACUUGAUAAAGGUUUCGUAAGACCUAGUGUUUCACCUUGAGGAGCCCCUGAGUUAUUUGUGAAGAAGAAGGAUGGUUCCUUAAGGCUAUGUAUUGACUACAGAUAAUUAAAUCGAGUCACAGUGCGAAAUAAGUAUCCUUUAUCCCGCAUUGAUGAUCUUUUUUAUCAGCUCCAAGAUGCUAAGGUGUUCUCUAAGAUUGAUUUGCGGUCUGGAUAUCAUCAAUUGCUCGCGGUUGUCGAAGUCGGUCAAAAAUAACCUUUCCGGUUAUCAACAAUAUUACUACUGCAGAUAGUGGUAAAGGAUCGAAUCCACAGAGAAUUGAAAACUUAUCUAUCUUUCUUAACAAGACCAAAAGAAUUAACUGAAAGCAAAUAACUGAAAGAGAAGUAAACUAAAAGCGAAUAAACUGAAAGUAAAAUGGGGAGUUUUGAGAUUGAUUUAAUUGAUCUAAUUCUGAAAGCAGUAAAAGUAAAGCGAAUAAUUAAAAUAAAGGGAAUUCAAUAAUGAAAAGCUCUAGUUGAAGAAUUGGAUUCACUUCAGUUGUUAGGAUUGAUCAUUGAAACUUAUGUAUUUUGAUUGAUUCAAUAGAUUAGUUAUGGAGAUGGAAAAUGCUUCUCACCACCAUGUCUCUCCUUAAUCAUAAACCGAUUAGGGAACGUCCUCUAAUUAAUUACUAAUUAACAAGUUGCCAAGGAACGUCCUUGGACCUUAGGCAUCAAAACAACUGUCAAUUGCAUUAGGAGAUAGAGAGAGCCAAUCCUAGCUACUCAAAUGCAUGAGAUGUUGCUAGAUCAUACAAUUUCCUUAGUUUUUACAUCAAGUGUUCUUAUGUUUGAACAAUCCAAGAAAUUACGGACUCAAAAUUAUCCAAACUAUCAAUAUAUUACCUUGCAAUCAAAAAUCAAGUGGCCACAUUGAUCAAAAUAACAAAGCAGUAAUGGAAUCAAGCAUGAAAUUGUAUGAAUACUAAAUAAACCAAAGACAAACAAUGUAUGUUCAGAUCUCACAAUCCAUAAAACAACUUAAGUUUCAAUCAAUCUUCAACUAGAAAAAAGGUUUCAGCCACUCAUGGCUGAAACAAAAACAAGACAAUGAAGAAAGGAAGAAGAAGAGAUGAUGCCACUUGCAAUCCCGUAGGUGUGUCCAAGAGAGAGUAGAAAAAGCAUGGAGAGGCUCCUUAUGUGUCUUUUUAUAGUUGAAAGUGUUGCCCUAGGUCCUUACUUGUAAUACCCGGCUAGACUCCGGUAUCGGAAUUCCUACCGUCCGAUGGAAUCUCGGGUGUCGGAGACUUCUAGAAGGGUAAAACCAUGUUUUCAUAAAAUGUUUUAAUGAGUUUUAUGGUUUUAAUCAAGUAAGAAAUGAGUUUUUGCAUGAAAAUAGCCUUGGAGGAAAACUCAGGUUCGGCCGCCGAACCUCAAGUUCGGCCGCCGAACAUGCAUGCGCUUCGAGUGUGCCUUAGGCCCCCGAAAGCAUAAGUGAGGGAAGUCCAGGUUCGGCCGCCGAACAUGGCAUGCAUGCAGAGGCACGUUCGGCUCCCGAAUGUGGCCUGGCCAGCCACCUAUAAAGGGGUCCCUUAGCCGAAAACGGGCGAGCUUUUCUCCCCAUUUUCGGCCAAGGUGAGCUCUCCGCCGUCCCUCACCGAUCUUGUAACGACCCAAAAAUCGGACCGCUACCGGCGCUAGGAUCCAGGUCGGCUUAAGGCCGCCGGGACCCAUAGCAAGCCCAACAUACAUCCUGCAAACCUGCUUAAUCCCAUACAUGAUCAAGAAUAUACAUAAAAAUUUAAAACUUUUCUUUCAUACACCAAACUCAACCUGUGCAUGCACUGAACAUAAUCAUAAUCAUAACUAUGACCCCUCUGUGGGAUCUCAUCAAUGCCCCAAUGGGCGGUACAACAUAUGUUGAGUUGGUUUACAUAAACAUCAUAAAACAUCUAAGAUCAUGUAUUAAAGGGAUAACAACUCUUUAUGGUCAAGCACACCUCUAUCAUCCAUAAGCCUUAUUACAUUUCAUGUCUAACUAUACUUUUACAUAACAUCAAAUACAUUUAUCAUGUCCACUCUAUCUAUUACAAACACACGACUUCAUUACUCUUGCGGACCUCCUGGUCUACCCUGUACCUGCAAACCUGGGAAAUUUGGGAGAGGAGUGAGCUACUAGAGCCCAGUGAGCAGAAUAAUAAAACAUUCAAAACAUAUGAUAACAUGGAAUGCAUCACAUCACAGCUAAUCACAUCAAGGAUGAACUUGUCACCAAUAGCCCUCUACAUAGUCCAACUGUGCCAGAACGUAGAAUGGGUCCUGGUCUUUCCCUUACAUAGCAUAACAUAACAGUCCAACUGUGCCAGAACGUAGAAUGGGUCCUGGUCUUUCUCUAACAUAGUGCCAGCGAACGUAGAAUGGGUCCCACUGGUCUUACAUUCCGUACCGUACAUAUCACAUCGUCACAUCAUAGAUCAAGGGCUAUGGAUCAUCCAACAUUCAUCCACAACAACAUUAAAAUAUGCAAUGCAACAUAUUCUUGAAUUCUAAUGCAAACAACCUAAAACAUCACAUGGCAUUUAUGAUGCAUGAACAUGCUCAAAACUUUACAAUUGAUUUACUUUAAAACGUAAAGGUUUAUUCUACUCACCUCUGGAUAGCUCUGACUAGACACUGGAGCAGCUGACUCACUACUGGGGUCCUCGGUUCCUCGGGUCCGAACCUACACAGGUGGACUCAAAUGAGGGACCAAACAACUAGAACAUAACUCUGAAAACAUCCCCCAAAAACCCUCUAAAACUCCUCAAAACAUCCAUGCAAAAACAUGCAAAGGAAGGCUGGACAGGGCACUUUCGGCGGCAGGUUCGGCGGCUGAAAGUCCCUCCAGAGCCGAAAGUCAGGCAGGUUCGGCGGCACCUUCGGUGGUCGAAACUCCUAGACAGAGACGAAACUCAUGCAUGUUCAGCGGCACUUUCGGCGGCCGAAACUCCCAGACAGAGACGAAAGUCUCCUUUCAGGGGCAGGCUUCGGCAGCCGAAAGGCUGGCCUCCCAGGCAGGUUCGGCGGCCGAAAGUCCUUCGGCUGCCGAACCUGGUUUCCGUCAAAGGGCAGAAACUUGGUUCCUCAUGCACAAACGCCUCCCAAACUUUUCAAACAUGCAUAAACCUAUUCUACAACACUCCCAAACAUACACAAGCAAGCAUACAAGUUCCUAGGGGCUUCAAACCAUCAAAAACCCCAACUACAACACAUCAAACAACUCACAUUGAUCAUAAGCAUAACAUGAACCCAUAAACCUAACCAUGAGCUAAACAUGCAUUCUUCCCCAUAGAUCUACUUAAAACUUGCUUAAAACAUGCUAUAAGCUCAAGAUUGGCCAUUACCUCUUGAAGAUCGAGAGAAGAACGACCCUAGCUCAGAAAAUGGGAGAGAGAGAGUUUCUUGAACCUCCAAGCUCCAAAACUUGCUCAAAUGCUCAAAACCUUUAAAACAAAGUUGCAAACUCAUAAAAAUAAUGAAGAAUGGAAGGAAGAAACUCAAGAUCGGUGAGGGACGGUGGAGAGCUCACCUUGGCCGAAAAUGGGGAGAAAAGCUCGCCCGUUUUCGGCUAAGGGACCCAUUUAUAGGUGGCUGGCCAGGCCACGUUCGGGAGCCGAAAGUGCCUCCGCAUGCAUGCCAUGUUCGGCGGCCGAACUUGAGGUUCGGCGGCCGAACCUGGACUUCCCUCACUUAUGCUUUCGGGGGCCUAAGGCACACCCGAAGCGCAUGCAUGUUCGGCGGCCGAACUUGAGGUUCGACGGCCGAACCUGAGUUUUCCUCCAAGGUUGUUUUCAUGCAAAAACUCAUUUCCUUUUUAAUUAAAACCAUGAAAUACAUUAAAAAAUUUUAUGAAAACAUGUUUCUACCCUACUAGAGGCUUCCGACACCCGAGAUUCCAUCGGACGGUAGGAAUUCCGAUACCGGAGUCUAGCCGGGUAUUACAUUCUCCCCCCCUUAAGAACAUUCGUCCCCGAAUGUUCCUCAACUAACACAUAGCAUGGCAUAAACAAAACAUACACAAACAACACAUAUGAGACUGACCUUAGAAAAGAUAAGGGUAUUGCUGGAGCAUGGACUCCCGUGUCUCCCAGGUGCAUUCUUCCAUAUUGUGGUGGUUCCAAAGGACUUUCACCAUCGGGAUUUCCUUGUUCCUUAGCUUCCUGAUCUGGGUGUCUAUGAUCCGUACUGGCUGUUCAACAUAAGUGAGAUCUUCUUGGAUCUCCACAUCAGGCUCACUAAGAACCUUGCCCGGAUUUGACACAAACUUUCUCAACAUGGAAACAUGGAAAACCGGAUGGAUUCUUUCCAUUGAAGCAGGUAAAUCCAGCUUGUACGACACAUUCCCAAUCCUUUGCAAGAUUUCAAAGGGUCCGAUGUAUCGUGGGGCUAGUUUACCUUUCUUCCCGAAGCGAACCACUCCUUUCAUAGGAGACACCUUGAGCAAUACCAGAUCCCCCUCCUGAAACUCUACCUGUCUUCUGCGGAUGUCUGCAUAACUCUUCUGUCUGCUUGCAGCAGUUUUGAUCCUUUCUCUGAUUAUGGGUACUACCCUGCUGGUAAUCUCUACUAGCUCAGGCCCUGCCAAGGCCUUUUCUCCAACUUCUUCCCAGCAAAUAGGUGAUCUGCACUUCCUCCCAUACAAAGCUUCAUAUGGAGCCAUCCCGAUGCUACAUGAUGGCUGUUAUUGUAGGCAAACUCCACCAAAGGUAGAUGCUGCCUCCAAGAACCGCCAAAGUCCAGCACACACAUUCUGAGCAUAUCCUCUAUGGUCUGGAUGGUCCUUUCUGAUUGUCCGUCCGUCUGUGGAUGGAAAGCAGUGCUAAAAUCCAACCUGGUACCCAUGGCAUUCUGCAGACUCAGCCAAAAUCUGGAGGUGAACUGGGGCCCUCUAUCGGACACUAUUGAAACAAGAACCCCAUGCAAUCUGACGAUCUCAUCAACGUACACCUGUGCCAACUUGUCCACAGAAUAGCCACUCCUGACAGGGAUGAAGUGAGCAGAUUUGGUGAGUCUGUCCACAAUCACCCAUAUGGAGUCCAAUCUGUUGGACACCGCCGGUAACCCCACUAUGAAGUCCAUAGCUAUAUUCUCCCAUUUCCACUCUAGAAUAGGUAGCGGGUUAAGCAUUCCAGCCGGCUUCUGAUGUUCCAGCUUCACCCUCUGACACACUUCGCAGGCUAACACAAACUGUGCCACUUCUUUCUUCAUAGCUGGCCACCAAUAAACCUUCUUCAGAUCUUGAUACAUCUUGGUGGCUCCGGGGGUGAACGCUGUACCUUGCAUUAUGAGCCUCUCUCAUAAUGUCUCCUUUUAGCCCUAUGUCAUCUGGUACACAUAGUCUGCUCCCAUAGCGGAGGAUCCCUUUGCUGUCGAAUCUGAACUCACUAUCUUUGCCUGACUGAACAGUCCUGGAAAUCUUCACUAACUCUGGGUCCUCAUGCUGUUUCUGAGCCACCUGCUCCAGAAACACGGGUGCCACUCUCAUCUGGGCUACCAAAGCACCUGUACCAAACAACUCCAACUGUAGACCUUCCUCCAUGAGCUUGUAAAACUCCUUUACCACUGGCCUCCUCUCUGCUGAUAUAUGGGAUAAACUGCCGAGUGAUUUCCGGCUUAAGGCGUCCGCCACCACAUUCGCCUUACCCGGAUGGUACUGAAUCUUGCAAUCAUAGUCACUCAGCAGCUCCACCCAUCUUCUCUGUCUCAAGUUCAAAUCUCUUUCACUCAGGAUGUACUGUAGGCUCUUAUGAUCCAUGAAGAUCUCACAUUUAACCCCAUAGAGGUAGUGCCUCCACAUCUUGAGUGCAAAGAUUACUGCUGCCAUCUCCAAGUCAUGUGUGGGGUAAUUUAACUCAUGCUUCUUCAGCUGUCUAGAAGCAUAAGCAAUCACCCUUUCAUUCUGCAUUAACACACAACCUAGUCCCUCACGGGACGCAUCACAAUACACUGAGAAGUCUUCAUUGCUAGAUGGCAGGGCUAACACUGGUGUUGAAGUCAACCUCUUCUUGAGCUUCUCAAAGCUCUCUUCACACUGGUCGGUCCACACGAACCUUUGGUUCUUCCUGGUCAAUCUAGUCAGAGGAGCUGUAAUCUUUGAGAAGUCCUGAACGAACCUCCUGUAGUAACCUGCCAAACCCAAGAAACUUCUAAUCUCUGUCACUGAAGUGGGUCUAGGCUAGUUAGCCAUAGCUUCUAUCUUCUUGGGGUCCACCUCUAUCCCAUUUUCUGACACUACAUGCCCCAAGAAUGAAAUACUCCUCAGCCAGAACUCACACUUAGAGAACUUGGCAUACAAGCCAUGUUCCCUCAAGGUCUGCAGAACUAACCUCAGAUGAUGGGCAUGCUCCUCUGCAUUCCUGGAAUACACCAAGAUAUCAUCUAUGAAGACAAUAACAAAUUGAUCCAGGUAUUGGCUAAACACUCUAUUCAUGAGAUCCAUGAAUGCUGCAGGGGCGUUGGUUAACCCGAACGGCAUUACAAGGAACUCAAAAUGCCCAUAUCUGGUUCUAAAAGCUGUCUUUGGCACAUCUUCUUCUCUUAUCCUCAGCUGAUGGUACCCAGAUCUCAGAUCUAUUUUGGAGAAACAACCCGCUCCGGCUAGCUGGUCGAAUAGAUCGUCGAUCCUUGGCAGAGGGUACCUGUUCUUGGUAGUGACUUUGUUCAACUGCCUGUAGUCGAUACAAAGUCUAAGGGAUCCAUCCUUCUUUUUCACAAACAAGAUUGGAGCACCCCAAGGUGAGGUACUCGGUCGGAUGAAGUCCUUUUCUACCAGCUCUUGCAACUGCUCUUUCAACUCCUUCAACUCGGCUGGGGCCAUCCUGUAGGGAGGGAUAGAGAUCGGUCUAGUGCCAGGCAUCAACUCUAUCUCGAACUCUAUCUCCCUAGCAGGUGGUAAACCUGGAAGCUCAUCUGGAAAAACAUCCUGAAACUCUCUGACAACUGGCACCGAGGCUGGCUCUCUGACCUGACUAUCUAGCUCUCUCACAUGAGCCAAAUACCCCUGACAUCCCUUCCUAAGCAACCUACGAGCCUGAAGAGCUGAUAUCAGACCUCUAGGUGUACCCCUCUUGUCUCCUCUAAAGAAGACUUCUGACCCGUUCUGAUCUCUGAACCUGACUACCUUGUCUCUGCAGUCCAAGGUAGCACCAUGGGUAGAUAGCCAAUCCAUCCCUAGAAUGACGUCAAAGUCUGUCAAAUCUAGAACCAUAAGGUUGGCGGAGAGGCAUCUUCCCUCAACAAAAACUGGACUGUACUGGCAGACUGACUUUGCCACUGACAGGUCACACUGACCCAUAGGGGACACUCUAACCCAGAGACUAUCAGACCCAACCUCUCAACGGCUCUCGGAGCAAUAAAAGAAUGAGAUGCACCCGGGUCCAUUAAUGCAUACACAUCAGAACACCCAAUGAUGAGAUUACCUGACACCACGGUGUUGGAUGUGUUAGCCUCCUGCUGAGUCAUGGUGAAGAUCCUGGCUGGAGCUGAUGGACCUUCACCUCGGGAAGCAGGAGAAGAGGCUGCCCCUCUCCCUCUACCUCUGCCACUGCCCUGAGUUGUGGCUGGAGCUGCUGGCUGUGCCACACUACCAGAAGCUGUCUGCUGGGGCUGGCCCAUAAAAGAUGCUCUAGGACACUCCCGAGCCAUGUGUCCCUCCUUUUCACAUCUGAAACACGUAUUAGUCCCAGCCCGACACACUCCCUUGUGUGGCUUCCCACACCUUAGGCAUUCUGUACCAUCUGAGCCUGAGCUCGAACCACCGCCUAAACCCAAACCGGACUUCAACUUAUUCCAGAACUUGUUCUUCUUCGGCUUCUUGGUGGUGUUAUUCCACCUCUUGCUACCUGAGCUCUGAGAAGAGAGACCUGGCCCUCCUCUGCCUGGGGUCUUAACCCCUGAAGAUUGGGUCACUGACUGCUUCACUGACCCCUCAACUAUAGCACUCGCCUCCAUCCUUCGAGCCAUAUCCACCACAGUGUGGAAACUUUCCCUCUCAACUGACUGAAUCAAAGAGGAGUACCUAGAAUGUAGCUUCAUAACAUAUCUCUUGGCUUUCUUCGAAUCUGUAUCUAGAGCUUGCCCUGAAAAAGGCAAUAGCUCCAAGAAUUUAUCCGUGAACUCCUCUACACUCAUGUGUUAUGUCUGCCUCAGCUGUUCAAACUCAAUCAUCUUCAGUUCUCUAGAACUGUCUGGAAAAGCCCAUCCAGCGAACUCAUUUGCAAAUUCUUCCCAUGUCAUGCCGUCUAGUCUCGGGUCCACAUAACACUUGAACCAUUCCCGUGCCUUUUUGCACUUUAGGGUGAACCCCGCCAUCUGAAUGGCCCUGCUGUCGUCUGCCCCUAGCUCAUCGGUUAUUGUCUUCACUACUCUCAGGUACUCAAAGGGAUCACCCCCUGACUUGUAUUUGGGAGCAUCCAACUUAAGGUAAUCUGUCAUCUUUACUUUGCUCCCACUGGCUGAGCUAGGUCUAGAAGGUUGAGUAACUGGGGCUGCUGGUUCUGUAGGUGGUGGAGGUGGGGGUGCAGCAUUCCCCGAGGUGGGGUUUGCCGG